AUACUUACCUGGCACAGGAGUGACUUUGAUCAAGAAGGAAUGUUCUCCCAAGGUGAGGCCUCGGCAUUGCAACUUGGCUGAGGUUGACCCUUGCGAUUCCCCCAAAUGUGAGGAACUCGGGUGUAUAAUUUAUGGUAGCGGGGACUGCGUUCGCGCUAACCCCUA